CGCCUGAUAGCACAGUGGUUAGUGCAUCUGCAUAUGUUGUAAAAGUCAGAAAAUCGUAUGCAGAAGACCCCCCGUUCGAUUCGGGGUCAGGCGA